rnacentral:lncRNA from 1 species
GUUCUCCACUUUUUACAGAUCUCAUCAUCUUCAACCAUCAUCAUCAUCAUCAUCAUCAUCAUCAUCAUCAUCAUCAUCAUCAUCCCCUCAUCCUCCACUUUUUGCACUGCAAAUCCAGAUGAAGAACCAUCAUCAUCAUCAUCAUCCCCUCAUCCGCAACCCAUGAUCUUCGAUUUUCCCCAUUACAUCUGGGAUUGAACUCAUAUCAUCUGAUCUUCCGAUUGCUUGUUCUUGUUGACUGUACUGCUCUGUUUCUUCUGUUAUAUGAGCGAAUCGACUGAUCAUCAUCAUCCCCUCAUCCCCUUUAAAUUCCGAUGCAACUGCAGUGGCGUAUGAGCCUAACAAGCCGCUAGUCAUUGAAGAUGUGGAGUUUUCAAUAUGUGGGGAUGAUGAUGAAGAAGAUCUGGGUUAGAUUUAAUUGAAGAUCUAGGGAUGAUGAUGGUUGAAGAUGAUGAAGAUCUGGGUUAGAUUUAAUUGAAGAUGAAGUUCUGGGGAUGAUGAUGGUUGAAGAUGAUGAAGAUCUUUAGAUUUAAUUGAAGAUGAAGAUCUGGGAUGAUGAUGGUUGAAGAUGAUAAUGAAGAUCUGGGUUUUAUUCAUAAAAGGGGAGGGAAAUUACAAUUUUACCCAUCAUGUGCAAGUCAUGUGCCAAUUAAUUAACCAGAGUUAGGGUUUGGUUAGAUUUAGGGGCCAAAAUGGUUAGUUAUAGGGACCACGGGGGCAAAUCUGUUAAAAAUUCUUAUUUUGGGCCAAUAUAGUAAAAUGGAUAUAACCACAGGGGCCAAAAACGUAAUUUACUCAAACAUAAAUGUAUGUACUUUAUUCCAAUUAUUAAUAGAAAGGGGGUUUUGAACCCCACAUGAUAAUAGUUACUCGUUGUAGCCUAAAUUGGUUAGAAUGAGUUUCAGAAAAACCCAAUAUGUAACUUCGAUCAACCGAUGUGUAAGACAUCAAUUUGUUGAUUCAAAAUUUGUCUGGUAAAAUUGGUGGUGUAGAUUGUCAUGUGUGACUAGCUUUGACCUCAGUUUAGAUACUAGUGUUUGGAAUAUGUUUGGGAAGUGAUUUUGAGGAAACUCUCGUAGGUUGAUUUUUUGGUGAAAAUCGGUCACUUUCAACUUAUUGAAAUUGUAAUACCUUGGUUAAUUGUAUUUGUAGUUAUCUGUGUAUUGCCAUACUAACAAAUUAGAUGAGAUUUAAAUGGAGGUUAAUUUUAUAAAUGUAGCAUAUAAGAAUGCUCAUAAAGUGAGGAGAACUACCAAACAAAGGUUGUUGCUACAUGGAUCCGCCAAGAUGAGGUUAAGAUCACUACAACAAUUAAGAAGAUAAACUUGUCACACUCAGUCUUCCCUAUCUAGAGUGAGAUAUGCAAAACUAUGGGAAACUCGUUACAAGGGGUCAAAUACCCAACUUCUCGGUAUCACCCUCUGACGCUCAAGUUAGUAUUUAAUUCAAGUCAGUAUUGGAUUUACCAUUUGUGAGUGCAUUAAUGUCUAUCGCCUCCGUCAAUCGUACAUCGUAGCGGGAAAUGGAACAAGACGAGACUUAAAUGAAGUUUAGUUAUAAGGGAAGUCCAUCCAGACGAAUGGUUGGCCAUCCGGAUGGAUGGAGUUAAUUAUUGAAUGAGUCCUCAUUUAAGUCAGCCCUAUAUAUAGGAGUGUUAUAUAUUUCAUUUAGAACUUUUGGAGAACUUUUGCAAACUUUAUCUUUGGAGAGCCUUCAUUCUUCAAGAUCUAGAGAGAGAAAGUAGCAAAGGAAAGAUUCAAGGUGUAAACAUUGUUAGAUCUUUAAUCGAAUCUUUGAUUAGU